rnacentral:rRNA from 1 species
AGUGAACGCUGGCGGUAGGCCUAACACAUGCAAGUCGAACGGCAGCACAGUAAGAGCUUGCUCUUACGGGUGGCGAGUGGCGGACGGGUGAGGAAUACAUCGGAAUCUACUUUUUCGUGGGGGAUAACGUAGGGAAACUUACGCUAAUACCGCAUACGACCUACGGGUGAAAGCAGGGGAUCUUCGGACCUUGCGCGAUUGAAUGAGCCGAUGUCGGAUUAGCUAGUUGGCGGGGUAAAGGCCCACCAAGGCGACGAUCCGUAGCUGGUCUGAGAGGAUGAUUCGGCAACACUGAACCUAGAACCGGUCCCAGCCCCCAAGGGAGGCAGCAGUGGGGAAUAUUGGACAAUGGGCGCAAGCCUGAUCCAGCCAUACCGCGUGGGUGAAGAAGGCCUUCGGGUUGUAAAGCCCUUUUGUUGGGAAAGAAAAGCAGCAGGUUAAUACCCCGCUGUUCUGACGGUACCCAAAGAAUAAGCACCGGCUAACUUCGUG